UUCUAAUUUUUGCGUUUGUUGGUCAUUGAUUGACAGAACGUGUUGGAAAUUAGUGUUGAAUGCGAUUUACGGAAUUCGCAUUUUUCGAGUCGUGUGUGUUUUUCUAUUCUCAUACAGUUACAAUAAAGUGUCGAAUUUACAUAUUUGUAGGAAAUCACAAAAUUCGGGUGAAAAAAAGGAGUGUGCCCGUAUGAUGCAUCGUGAAUGUGAGUGAGAGUGUAUUAACGAAAUUUGUGACAAAAGCUAACGCGCGAAAAAAGUGCAAAGCAACGACAAAAAUUUGUGCAAACGGAAAAGUAAACGACAAACGUGAAACCGACAAAAUAUAGAAAAAAGAAACAAAAUAGUGGAGCGAAAGCACAAUUUCAUUCCAUUUGAAAAAAAUCAUCAAAUUUUAUAAUAAAUAAGCAAAGUGUAAAGUUUCUAUCUAUCUAUAAUAGGAUAGAUAUAUAAUAGUAGGAUACACCGAUAAUACUUGCAGCCGUAGCAAACGUUAUAAAAGUCAAACCAGGAUAUAAACAAGCAAAAACCACUGUUACAAACUACACCCGGCUAAGAAUACAGUUUCUGGCACAUAAAUAAAAAGAGCGGAAAUAGCCACCGGAAGUACGGCGUAAAAUCAAACACUUGACACAGCAGCAACAGCAACAACAACAACAACAGUCAGACAAAAUGAGUAAAAAACCGACAGUCGGACCCGCGCUCCACAAAGUGAUAAUGGUGGGCAGCGGUGGUGUCGGCAAAUCGGCACUGACGCUACAAUUCAUGUACGACGAAUUCGUGGAGGACUACGAACCAACCAAAGCAGAUAGUUAUAGGAAAAAGGUCGUUUUAGAUGGCGAAGAAGUACAAAUAGAUAUAUUGGAUACUGCCGGGCAGGAGGAUUACGCCGCCAUUCGAGAUAAUUAUUUUCGCAGCGGUGAGGGUUUCCUCUGUGUCUUCUCAAUCACAGACGAUGAAAGCUUCCAGGCAACACAAGAAUUCAGGGAACAAAUUUUGCGUGUGAAAAAUGACGAAAGCAUACCGUUUCUGUUGGUGGGCAACAAAUGCGAUUUGAACGACAAACGCAAAGUGCCGCUGAACGAAUGCCAGACACGUGCCCAACAGUGGCAGGUGCCCUACGUGGAGACCUCAGCCAAGACGCGUGAAAACGUCGACAAGGUAUUUUUUGAUUUGAUGCGCGAAAUAAGAUCCCGCAAAACCGAAGAUUCGAAAGCGACUAGCGGGCGUGCUAAAGACAGAUGCAAGAAGCGGAGACUUAAGUGUACACUACUUUAGGCGUAUUUGUAGGUGCAUAAGCAGACUCUAAGCAAAUAUAAGAAAAACAAAAACAAUAUAAUGAACAAAUCAAAUAUGCAAAUAUGAGAACAAAAACAAAAAACCACAAACAAAAACAAGCGAACAAAGAUUGCAAACGAAAUCCCUAACUGUACUCUACUCUCCCAACCACCAGACAUCACAUCGAAUUAGUACCAUAACCUACUACAUAGCUGAUCUGUGUAUAUGCAAUAACAACAAAAUUCCUAACCGAAUUACCGAGAACCGUUUGUAGUAUUUUAUGAUUUAAUCAGGGAUAUUUCUUCGCGAAAGAAACAACGUCAGUCCGAUGUGCGACAGCCGCCAAAAACCAAAUCUCAUUGCUGCCAACUGCUGUAAUAUUCAUGAAAUUUGAAAACCGAACAACUUCAAUACAAAAACAACAAAAAAAAAAAAAAAAAAAACGACGCUGAUGAACAACACAAGCAUAAUGCCGCAAACCAACAAUGACAAUGACGACGAAUGAAUAAAAAUAAUUAUUCACUCCAUUUAGAUACGGAAAAGAGGAAAAAUAAAAACAACAACAUGCAAAGCUGUUGUCUUUGCAAGAGUUAUUAAAAUAAAAAGUAAAACAAGAGUUAAAAUAAGUUCUAAAACUGCAGCGCAACUCUGUUAUAUUACAACAAUAGAGGAGAAAAUGAAAACAGCAUAUGCAACUCAAUUUAUGCGUAAAUUUGUAAAAAAAAUAUUAUAAUUAAAACCUACAAGCCACUUACAAUUGCAUGCUUACAUACAUACAUACAUACAUACAUAAGUUUAUAUAGGUAAAUAUAAAGCAACACCAAUUGUAAAAUCAAUCAACAACGUACUGUAUUCAAUAAAUGAACAAAUGAGAAACCAAAAUAUACAACAACAAUAUAAACCUUGUAGAGAAUUAUAUUUUGGCAACUUUUUAUGUACUAACUUUGCUUAUGUUUAUUGUUUAAAGGAGAGCUCCUGAGAAAGUAUAUAGCUGACUGUCUACUACUCAUGGUUGCUGUAAAGGUAUUUUAUAAGUGUUCCAUACAAUUUGAUUUUGAAUAUUCGAAACAAUAUUCGUUUGGAUAGUUUGGACAAGUUUUUCAUGAUUUUUUUUUUAAAGAAUUCCCUAAAAUUAAUUUUGAAGGUCCGAAACAAUAUUCGUAUAUGGGUUUGGGGCGCACAACACGCUUGAAUUCGUAUUUUUUUAAUAACUUCAGCUAAAGUUAUAAAAUUACCAUAUUCUGGCAGCAUUAUGCCAAUUUAAAUUUUUUUUUAAAUAUUGAAGUAUUUUUACUUUUUUUUUUGAUUACAAGUUUUCAUUUCAUACAAACGUUGGUACAAAUUUAAAAAAUUAUGAAAUUUAUAGCCUGCUUUUAGAUGCGAAUGCAGGUGUUGAGACAAAAUUUUUUAGUAAUAUUUCAAUAAUACCCAAAAGUGGCGUAAUUUUGACCGCUUGAAGAAUUUGUGGUUACCAAAAAAAUUUAAAAAAAAUGCUGUUAAAAAUGUUUGAUACCUAAAUACAAAUUUGCAAAAAUAUAGCAUACUUUUGGGCAUACAAGUUAUAUGGUAUUUUUAAAAUUCUCAAAACAUGGUUUUUUUUCUCAAUAUUAAUUAUUUUAUUGCACAAUAAUACUCUUUUACAUAUGAUUAAAUUAUAAAGUAUUCAGUAUUCAAAUAUAAUAUAUUUUCGAAAUAGCUUUCAAUGCAAGAUUGUUUUGCCUCUAAAGGCGAAGAACAAGUUUCGAUUUGUAAUUCUUUACUAUUUCGCUUUAAAUUAUUUGUUUUCAAAUUAUAAUUCUGGUUUUUACCACGUAAAACCGCUUCCCAAACUUUAUAUAGUAUAUAUAUAUACGGAUCAACAAAAAUUUGAACAGGGAUUUUUGGAUACUUGUGGCUUUAUGCUAAAAUCCCUAACAAACAUUUUAUAAACCCAGUUUAUCUAAUUGAAGAUAUGUGCAUUGAAAUUCAAGCUUAAACCUGCGUUAUAAUGUAAUUAAUCAUUUGUUCGGGCAUUACAUCAGCAUUGAAAGUAUAUUCUUUAUGGAAAUUGUAUCGUUGAUGGUUCUAGAUAAUUGUAGGGCAAUGCAUUGAUAUAAUUCUAUGUUGGUUAAUAAGGUAUCAGCAGAAAAUUACUCUACUUUGAAUUUUUUUUUUAACAACAGAAAAGAGAGUACUCUUAACUCUUUUAGGCGGCGGCCAAAUGAAAGUAAAAUAAAUGUGAAAAUCCAAAUUAAAUUUUUAAUACAAAUUUUUUGUGAAAUUACACCAACGGAAAAGCGUUCUACAUCCCACUAUCGGUUUUAAAAAACCUAAAAUUCUUAACUAUACAAAUAUUUGGUUGUACUGUGUAAACAAUAAUUUUUAAAAUUUAAUUGUAUUCUCUAAAUACAAUUAUUUAAAUUAUUAUAAUAAUUUUUUUUUUUAAGUUCAAUAUUAUGCACAUAAAAAAAAGGAAAAAGUAAAAACAAACGAAAUUAAAAACAUGAGUCAAACGACAAAUAACUAUCAAUAUUUAUAUAAUAUACUUGUAUUGUAAACAUGCUUAAAAGUAAUGCAUUGCUUUAAUUUGUAUUUGUAAACAUAAAAACAAAAUUUUUUUAAUCAUAUAUGUAAAAUAUUGAUAAUUUACAAGUUACUUUACGUUGAUAUUAUUAAGCGUAUUAUCACACUUAUGUGAAGCUGAAGUCUCGGCGAAGUUUCAUAGAUAUAUGCACGAAGUGGCAGCGAUAAAUAAAAGAAAGAAAGAAACAACUACAAAUACGCUGCACUGUGCGUUUUGUAUUUAGUUAUGCUAUUGCAAGAUCAUACUCCGUUGCAAGGUUCUUAUAUUUAUAUUAAACUAAAUGCAUAUACAAACACACAUACAUAGAACAACUUCAUGUAUGUUUGUAAAACCGGUAUGCUUGGUGGUAACCUAUUUUUACCCAGCUAACUAUCUAUAAAAACCUAUAAAUCUUCCUAUAUGUAUAUUGUAUUUAAUAGCAACAACAAUAAAACACACAUACACACACCAAACUCCUAAAUAAAUACCCAACAUUAUUAUUAUAUUUAUAAUUAUAUAUAUAUAUAUAUACGUGUGUAAUUAUUUGUUUAUUACUAUGUAGAAUUAUAGGAUGCUAUUUUCUUUAUGUUUAAUUUGAUUUUGUGUAGUUAUGCGUAAUUGAAAGUUAAAAAAAAAAAAAAAUUAUUAUUAAAAACAACAAUUAUAAUUGCAAACACAUUCUCAUACAUUGUUGUAGUCUUCUUUGACACACUGUGCACUCACCCUUAUGUCUCAUAUGCAAUUGUUUGUUGCAUUGUUGCAAAUUAAAGCUGCAGUUCAAAAAACAAAACAAAAA